GAGAAACAGCAAUUACAACUAGAAAAAAAACAGCUAAAGACUUGCCUCGACAUCACGCUUCCUUGUCACGUCCGACCGCCAAGGGAUGCAGCGAGCCUCCGUUUCGUCACGAGGUCUACUCGCGGGGGCGGAGUGCUUGGCGUCGCUCCCCGAGGACACCGAGGACACUACCAGAUUGGGGAAUGCAAGGCUGACCUGUAUCAGCACGGAGUUGGAGAGGCUCAUCCAAGUAGAGGAGGCAGGUGAAGCCCCUCAUAGUGACCCAGAGCCUCCUGCUAGCACCUCCCUUGACAGCCCUAAGAGAUAAGGAAUUGACUCUCCCAUCCCUUCAAAAAAGACAGAGAAGGGAAAGAAGCAAAACGGAACUCUUCCCGAGUCCUCCUGUGUAGUAGAGACAGUCAUCCGAGGGGAUUUGUUCCGUCCCUCCUGAAGGCGGAUCCUGUCUUCCAAAUCGGCUCACUCCGUCCCUGCCUGGAGGAGGAUCCCGAGGGGAUUAAGGAGGCUCCGGGGGAUUCUGGGUCGAACGCUGUCUCUACGGCGCCCGAGCCUAUGGCGGGCAGUUCGUCUGGCGAGGAACAUCGUGAAGCACUCCCUGGCACGUCCACUAGGAAGGCGGACGUGCUUUUGCUGCCCAAGCGGCCAAUAAGCGUUCCCUCCUGGACUCAUGAGACCUGGCCCAAGCCAGCGGCAGGAGGGUCUGCCAGUAUCCCCUUCUGGCCAGUCACUGGACCUCCACCUUCCCUUCCCCUAGGGUCUGUUGGGUCAUGUUCCUGUCACUGUCUUCUUGCCCAUCACAGUUGUCAGUCCCUCUGAUCCCCUUUGUGUCUGAUCCCCUUAUUGUCAGUGUGCAAAUCCCUGUCUAUGGCUGUCUCGGCCCGUUAUCCUCCCCAGUGCUGUCUGUGCUGGCCUGUGUCGGGUCGCUCAGUCCUCUGGCCUCCUCUAUUUGGUGUCGGUCUGGGGGACGUGGCCCCAAUAGGCUGGUGUGCCUGGAGUUGUGCCAUUGGGAGGGGGUUCUGUCAUGGUAUGGCCCCCCCCCUCUCCUAGACUCCUCCCCACGUUCACGUGCGUCUGUCGUCACUCCCCUACUGUGUUAAAUGAUCAUGUGUCCUUAGUUAUGUUUGUUGUUGGCACAUGUAUUUAAACCCCUGUUGUCUUGGCCCUGUGUGUACUACACGUAACAUCACGCUAGGUUCCACAAGUUGUAGUUUAGUGUUUUUGUUCUGUUUUUUGUGUUUUGGUUUUAUUUAUUAAUAAACACAUUCUUGGUUUACGGAGAUUUGCCUCGGUAUUCCCUUUCCUCGACACAAGGCUUUUAUUUUUUGCUGGCAGUGAAACAGGUGUCUUGUACAAAGACCUACCAAUGUACGCAAGUGUUCACAUUUCCUGUGCAGAUCAUUUUAUUUGUAUGCGAACCAUCAAAAUGGGCAAAUCUGAGCUGAGCGUAAAUGUAUAAUUCAGAUUGUUCAAUUCCAAUUUUGAAUGUGAAUGUAAAUUUUGAAUCAGGCUGCACUGCUCCAUUUCAGUAUGUGCUUUCUUCCAUCCAGUGUCCAUCAGCAAGAAACAGGCAGUGUACAAGUACCGUAUUCAGUUAUGCAGGGGUGCCACGGUCACCUUUUAUACAAAUAUAACUUCUGCCCCCCCAGUGCCACACACCCCAUCCUGAAAAGCAGUCAUUUAAAAAAUAUUUGUACAAAAUAAACAUUCAUAAAAACCUGUUUUGUUUGCUUUUUGCUUUGCCGAGUCCUGUAACCUAUUCUGACGAGGCUUCAUGCCCGUUAUCUAUGCAUUACCUUUUGUUCAGAGAAGCACUGAGGCUAAACUGGCUGAAUAGCUGAGUUAAACAUUUAUUGAAAGAUGGACAUCAGUACUCUUUGCAAACUUGAAAGCAUAUGAAGAGUAAAUGCCAUAAAGGUGUAGUAACAGUAUUGGUUUAAACUGUGAUAUUUUCCAAAGUCUAGAUUUAACCCAGCCAUAACUGUUUCAAAAUGAAGGAACUGGCCUAUGGUUGGCCUAUAUAUGCAUUUGUUAGUUCAUACAGAGCACAAAAAUAAUCAAACACAUCUAUAUUGAUUGGCAACUCAGUGUUUUGAGCUUCUGCUUUACAUCGACAAUGAGAAAAAAAAGAAAAAAAAA